AUUGAACGCUGGCGGCAGGCCUAACACAUGCAAGUCGAGCGGAUGAAGGGAGCUUGCUCCUGGAUUCAGCGGCGGACGGGUGAGUAAUGCCUAGGAAUCUGCCUGGUAGUGGGGGAUAACGUCCGGAAACGGGCGCUAAUACCGCAUACGUCCUGAGGGAGCAAGUGGGGGAUCUUCGGACCUCACGCUAUCAGAUGAGCCUAGGUCGGAUUAGCUAGUUGGUGGGGUAAAGGCCUACCAAGGCGACGAUCCGUAACUGGUCUGAGUGGAUGAUCAGUCACACUGGAACUGAGACACGGUCCAGACUCCUACGGGAGGCAGCAGUGGGGAAUGUUGGACAAUGGGCGAAAGCCUGAUCCAGCCAUGCCGCGUGUGUGAAGAAGGUCUUCGGAUUGUAAAGCACUUUAAGUUGGGAGGAAGGGCAGUAAGUUAAUACCUUGCUGUUUUGACGUUACCAACAGAAUAAGCACCGGCUAACUUCGUG
rnacentral:rRNA from 1 species